rnacentral:rRNA from 1 species
AUCAGAUCAAUAAACGGAGGAGCAUA